GAGUCAUCACUCCCCGGGACUGUGGGGCGGUCAGGAGCGAGUGUGGAGACGCGGCCACAGGAACCCAGGACAAUGGCGGGAACCACACAAUGAGAUAUCACCUCACAGCCAUCAGAAUCGCUACUGUAAAACAAAAACAGAAAAUAACAAGUGUGGACAAGAAUGUGAAGAAAUUGAAACCCUUGUGCAGUUGGAGGGAAUGUAAAAUGGUCCAGCCACUGUGGAAAACAGUGUCUUCAUCUCUUUCCUGUUGCUAUAACUGAACACCCGAGACUGGGGCUUAGCACAGCACCUAGUACUCAGAUGCUCACCUGAUGCUUAUCCCAUGAGUGGAUGGAUGGAGGGAUGAGCUACAAAAACCCAAGGGCUCAUCGAGGGCAGGGGCAGAGUGAGUAGUACCCUAAAACUCUUUCUUAAAGGCCUGAACCCUUAGGGAACUGAGCUGUGUCUAGAAGCGAGAAAAAGUGAAGAGAAGAUUCGUGCAAAUGCUCAAGGCACCUUGGCCGGAAGUAGAGGGGAGACCAGACCCCACAUUCCUCCAGAACCAGCAGGGUCUCCUGUCCCAGAAAGGAAUGACAGAUGGCAAGAGAUCUGUGGCCCUGGAGCAGUUCUCGGGGAGGUAGUGAGAUCCUCUAGGCUGACCACGUUGAAGUAACAAGAAAACAUUGGCCCUGAAGGGGCUCUGGCAGUGCAGCAAGGACAGCGUCAGAGUGAUGGACAGUUUUCUGAGGACCAAAUCCUACCACGUGAUGUUGCACAAAGACCUUGGAACUAGGACAUAAAUCCUGGAAGAAGUUACAUAUUUAGGCCAGGUGGGGUGGUAAUCCUAGCGGCAUCUGAGGCAGGUGGAUUGUUUGGGCCUAGGAGUUUGAGACCAGCCUGAGCAAGAUGGUGAAACCCCAUCUCUACUAAAAAUACAAAAAUUAGCUGGGUACAGUGGCAUGAACCUGUCGUCCCAGCUACUCGGGAGGCUGCGGCCGGAGAAAUGCUUGAACCCUGCAGGUGGAGGUUGCAGUGAGCCGAGAUGGAACCACUGCACUCCAGCCUGGGCGACAGAGUGAAAUUCUGUCUCCAAAAAAUAAAGAAAGAAAGAAGUUACAUAUUUUUCCCCACCAGCCUAAUGGCAAAGGAACUCCGAAUCAGAAAUGGGGCACAGGUACAGAAAAACAAGAAAGUUGUUCUGCUUGCCCACUGGAGCUGUCCCGGCACUAAGUGAAGGCCUGCCAUGUGUGUCUAAGGCCUGGAGCCAGCCCGGAGGCUGCACCUGCAUCACUCAGCCCUCUCCCUGCUCGUCUCUGUGCCUCUUCAGUCCAAUGCUUCCUCCUUCCCAGGCCCCAUCUGUUCUGUAGUUUUCUCUUAACCUGGCUUCCUGGGAAGGGCUGCAGCCAUGUUUGAGGAGCCCAGUAAAACACCCCCAAGGGCUGUUGCCUUCUUCCUCCGGGCUAACUGAAUUCUUGCAGGGGCUGGGAAGAGGUGGGUGGGAGGACAGGGCAGGCUGAUCUGGAGAGUCUGGCUUCCUGGGCCCCAGCCCAGCCCUCGGCAGAGCAAUGUGACCUGAUCCCACACUUGGCCAAGGCAGCUGCAGACAUUUGCAAAGUGACAAAAGGAGAAGAGGGACCUAAGAAGAAAACAGCAUUUGCACAGCACAUGGAAGUGCCUGGAAAUGUUUUCUGGACACAUUAUUCUUCUCUAGGGUGAUUUUCAAGGCCAACCAAGCCUGGAGACUAAAGCUUCCAGAGAGGCAGGGUCUCUCUCUGUUGCCCAGGCUGGGGUCCAGUGGUGCAAUCUCAGCUCACCGCAACCUCCGCCUCCCAGGUUCAAGUGAUUCUCAUGCCUCAGCCUCCCAAGUAGCUGAGACAGAUAUUUUUGCGUGUCUGACACCCAUGGCUCCACCUGGACCUGAAGGCUCCUGUGACCCCACCCAGGAGUGACUCAGUUCAAGACAACAGCUUUGACCCCCUCUGAUUUCAUCUCCACUCCAACCAAUCAGCAGCAAGCACCCAUUGCCUGGCCACCCCCACCCUUUACCCAAACUGCCUUUGAGCCUUGGAGGAGAUUGGUUUGAGUGUGGCGUGGCUGGCUACAAGUCAAUUAAAUUCUUUCCUUACUG
ensembl:lncRNA